UCAAAUAUAUCCUUUAUUUCGAUCAAUUAAACAAGUGUAUUUUCCAAAAUUGAUAAUUUAUAUAUAUAUAUAAUCGUAUAGAGUGGGACUCACAAGUGGUGUUCGUGUAUAUUGUAUUUUUAUUCGAGAUCUAACAUGUAAACAAUUGUCAAUUUUGCAAAAUCAUACUCAAAUAACUGAAAUUGGGAAUACAUAUGAUUUGAAUUGAAAAUACAGAAACUUAUGUGACGGAUUUAUGAAAACACAGGGUGUUAGCCGUUUAUCGUACCAUUACCUGAAACCUCAGAUUUUGAUAAAGAAAACAAGGAAUGGAGGAAGCACUGGAUCUGCUAAACUGUGUGGCACAAUCGCCUUAUGAUCAAGACAAAUGUGUCCGUCUCUUGCAAGUUUUGAGACAGUGUGUGCUCAUUACGAAAGUGAAGUUGUUCUCACUAACUGAUCAGGAGCAACGAGAAGCAAAUUCAGUUUCCAAGAAAGCUUGAUUAAAAUCCUGUGCUGGUGGGGUUUUGUCUGAGAUCUAUUCGGAUAUUAAGUGCUGUGAACCUGCUUUCUCUCCUUCCAUUGUGAAGGCCAAAUGGAUAUCAUACGGUUUUAGACUCGUACAAAACAUUUUAAGUUGCCGGAAAAGAUUACGUUCACUUGAUUUUGACUGGGAAUCCAUUUGGAAGUUAGAAAGCUGAGUUGUAAUUUUAAAGAAUGCUACAGAUUAAUGCCAAACUCUAUUUUCUAAA